UGCAAGAGAGCAGGUAUCAGGCUCAACAACGUUAGCCCGUCACACCUUGCCCAGCCACAUCCCCACGGAUACACAGCAGUGAUUAACAUUAGGCAAUAAGUACCUUAAACUUGACCUAGCUAAAAUUCCCAUUUGGCCGGCAAAUCUCGUGCCAGCAGCCGCGGUUACACGGGAGGCCACAGAUAAUCUACUAACGGCGUAAAGAGUGACCACGGACUUUCCCUGCCCCGGAUUUUAAAACUCUAUCUCAGAGAUGAAACCCCAAGAUACCAAGAACCCCCUAAAACCCCAAAACAGGCCAUCCCACUCACGAAAAUCAGGAUACUAACUAGGAUU
rnacentral:rRNA from 1 species